GCGUCCGGUGGUGCAACGGUUAGCAUACGCUCCCGGAAAGAAUGAGGUGUGAGUUCGAAUCCCGGCUGGUGCA